CCUACGGGUGGCAGCAGUGAGGAAUAUUGGUCAAUGGACGAGAGUCUGAACCAGCCAAGUAGCGUGAAGGAUGACUGCCCUAUGGGUUGUAAACUUCUUUUAUAUGGGAAUAAAAUGUUCCACGUGUGGGAUUUUGUAUGUACCAUAUGAAUAAGGCUCGGCUAACUCCGUGCCAGCAGCCGCGGUAAUACGGAGGAUCCGGGCGUUAUCCGGAUUUAUUGGGUUUAAAGGGAGCGUAGGUGGAGUGUUAAGUCAGUUGUGAAAGUUUGCGGCUCAACCGUAAAAUUGCAGUUGAAACUGGCAGUCUUGAGUACAGUAGAGGUGGGCGGAAUUCGUGGUGUAGCGGUGAAAUGCUUAGAGAGCACGAAGAACUCCGAUGGCGAAGGCAGUUCACUGGACUGCAACUGACACUGAGGCUCGAAAGUGUGGGUAUCAAACAGGAUUAGAUACCCCAGUAGUC
rnacentral:rRNA from 1 species